rnacentral:rRNA from 1 species
AGAGUUUGAUCAUGGCUCAGAACGAACGCUGGCGGCGUGGAUUAGGCAUGCAAGUCGUGCGUGAAAGGGGAGCAAUCCCCGAGUAAAGCGGCGAACUGGUGAGUAACAGGUGGGUAACGUGCCCUGAAGUGGGGGAUAACACCGGGAAACCGGUGCUAAUACCGCAUGUGGCGUCAAGGACCUUGGUCCCUGCCGCUAAAGCAGCAGUGCGCUUCAGGAUCGGCCCGUCCCCGAUUAGCUUGUUGGUGAGGUAACGGCUCACCAAGGCGACGAUCGGUAGCUGGUCUGAGAGGAUGGUCAGCCACACUGGGACUGAGACACGGCCCAGACUCCUACGGGAGGCAGCAGUGGGGAAUAUUGGACAAUGGGGGCAACCCUGAUCCAGCGACGCCGCGUGUGUGAAGAAGGCCUGCGGGUUGUAAAGCACUUUUAGUGGGGAGGAAAAGCUCAGACCUAACACGUCUGGGAAUUGACUAACCCAAAGAAAAAG